AGAGUUUGAUCCUGGCUCAGGACGAACGCUGGCGGCGUGCUUAACACAUGCAAGUCGCACGGGGCCCGCAAGGGUUCAGUGGCGAACGGGUGCGUAACACGUGAGAAAUCUGUCCAUCGGCGGGGGAUAGCCGGCCCAACGGCCGGGUAAUACCGCGUACGUCGGCGAGAACGCAUGUUCUUGCCGGGAAAGCAGCAAUGCACCGAUGGAGGAUCUCGCGGCCUAUCAGCUUGUUGGCGGGGUAAUGGCCCACCAAGGCGAUGACGGGUAGCUGGUCUGUGAGGACAGACAGCCAGACUGGGACUGAGACACGGCCCAGACUCCUACGGGAGGCAGCAGUGGGGAAUCUUGCGCAAUGCGCGAAAGCGUGACGCAGCAACGCCGCGUGGGGGAAGACGGCCUUCGGGUUGUAAACCCCUUUCAGGAGGGACGAAGGCUCACCGGUGAAUAGCCGUGUGGGUUGACGGUACCUCCAGAAGAAGCUCCGGCUAACUACGUGCCAGCCGCCGCGGUAAUAC
rnacentral:rRNA from 1 species